CAGCCCGGGUUCAGGGGGCAGCUCUGGAGAAAUCUGAUUGAGGUAAGGGGUCCAGGUAUAGGAAUCUUGAAAAAUGACCCCAUCUCCUUGGUCCUAGGCCUCAACAGAUCUUUGAACUCUGGUAACAAGGCACCCACAGUCCCCCAUCCAGCUCACUUGACGGGAGACAGUCAAGAGGCAGAAAUGUUUUGUUGUUGUAUCCCAACUUUUGCAGGAUCUGGGCUCAAAAAAGCCCAGAAAUAGAAUCUUUUUGAUUGUUGCCUACAUUGGCUCAGCCCUCAUCCCUGACACCUCUGGGUGUCUGACAGGAGGCAGUGAAGGGUAACAUGGGCAGCCCAGGAAAGGUUAGUGCAGAUCAGGACACAACGGUGAUCCCACCUGAUCAACCCCAAAAUCCAGGCCCCUCAUCGUGUGUUUGUGUGUGUUUGUGUGUCUGUGUGGUGUGGGGAAGGCAGGGUAUGUGGGGCAGGCCAUUCCUGGGCAGGAGCUGGUUGUUAGGUGUCGGAAGCCUGUGGGUCUGUGACGUUCGUACCCAGGUCAUGGCUGGCAGCAUGAGAAGGUGAGCUGCUCAACUCGUAUGUUAUUGAGCCCUAGAGGUUUCAUCUCCUUCCCUUCCUGACCAGAGUUCUUUGCCAGGAUGCCCUCUGUGCCUGAACUGAGGAGCAGACUUUCUCUUGGGGGUUGACCACAGUGGCAGUGUGCAGGCAGCCCCUGAUUCCCUCUGGCCCAGCUCCCAGGCAGUCUUUGCAGAACUCCACUCAGGAGGUCAUCGAGUAGCUGCCCAAUGGUUUCAACUCCACCAACUCACUAGACAAGGGGCAGGUGCAUGAGGCCACCCACACCAUCCAGUGCUGCUCUGAGAUGAGAGCAGGAGCAGAGGGCCUCCACACUCAGGACCUUGAGAUGAUGGGGUUGGACCAGAACUAGGGUGGGACCAGUCAGGGGCUGUCUCUUUUUCAAGCUAAAGGGGAUGUACAUGCAGGUAACCUUGCCUGGUUCAGAGCUGAGCUGCUGUGACCCUCUUUCCUUUGACUGGUGUGAGCUUCUGGAGGCCAAUGAGGCAGAGCCAGAGGGUAAGGGGGACUGCAGGCUGGCUAUUCCUGGAAAGGAAGUGGGAUCUUUCCUGUAUUUAGAAGGACACAUGGAAAGUCAGCUAUGUGAGUGAACCUUUCUCUUUAUCCCGCUCCAGUGCCAGUUGCAGAGCUCCAGCCAGCAGCAGAAGCAGAGCAGUGGGCAGUGGUGGAGGUAGAGCUGGCUCCAGCUUCCUUGACACCACCCUCUCUAGCACUGGAGCCAGUGUCCCCUCCACCAGCAGUGUUGGAGCUGGAGCAAGGGCCGACAUCGGCUGCAGCAGGAGUGGAAGCUGCUGAGCUGGAGUCACCUGGACCAUCAUUUCUAGUGGGAAGUCCAUCUCCACCUGUGGCUAAGAAGCAUGAGAAGAAGCCCAACCUACGGCCUUCCCUCCUAAGCUGGUGGUGGAGCAGUUGACCGUGAUGGAUGCGACUGUAGAGGUGGACACUAACAGGACCUGCUGCACAGAGUGGCUGUGCCGGCUCCAUGAGGUAGAAGAGACGGAAGGGAGUGCGAGAUCCUGAAGAACUUCUCCUCGCCCCGCACUGUCAUCUCUUCUCUGCAGAAAACAUCCAUAUGCCACCUGAAGAACACAUGGAGGAAGUUUCCUGGGAGAGCUCUGAAAAAUUUAAAGAGAGCUAUAGCCAAGACGAGUCCUUGAACAGAGAACUGAUGACCAAGGUUAACAAGCAGAGGGAUCUGUUCUGCCCAUGGGCAGGUGGGGUGCCAUUUGUGGGCAGGAGGCCUUGGUCAUGGGACACAGUGGUGUUGGCUGGGCUGUUCCAGGACGAGUUGCCGAGCUGGCGCCAUCAGCAGGUCUCUGGCUUCCACUCACGUCCAUCCUGCUGGAUGUAGCUUCUUCCAGGCUGUUGGGUGGUUGGGUGGGUUUAUCCCUCAGCCUAAACCUGUCCUCAGGAAGCCAGGCCCCUGCUGCUCCUUCUAUCUUCACCAUGUCUCCAAGGGGAGGGCACACUGCCUACCCCAGGGACGGGCACAACAGGGGAUUCCCCUGGCACAGGAGGACAAACAGGCUGCUCAUCCUUGGAUCUGAACAACUGACCAGAGACAGAUGUGUGUGCAUUGUGGGACUCCCCACUGGACCCCUAGAGCAGUCACUUGAGUCAACCACAGGAGUCUCACCUGAGUGCCUGGUUGGCAAUGAUAUAGGCCCCAGGUGGCUUAUGAGUAGCGUCUAGGCAACUGAUGGAUUCUUAGUGGAUCCUGCUGAAAGGACGUUAAGAGCUUCAUGUAAACGGGGAAGCAAAGCAUCCUGUCACCCCCUUCCCUGUUGAUCAGAGGUGGCACCUUGUGGGUCCAGUUCCUGAGUGGAUAAAGAAAGAGUUCAGUGCAGGCGAAUAUCCUGAGUUGUUCUUUGGGGAGGAGAAGGGUUUGGCAUUGCCUUUGUCCGGCAUGGGGGAGAGACACUCCAGGGGACUGGGGCAGGCAGGAGCCACUCAACAACCAGACUCCCAAGACACCCCAUCCUCUCGAUCCACGGCUCGGCCCAGGGCCAAGCUUUGAGAGCUCAGGGGACAAGACUGUUGUCAGUGGUGGGGCUGGGGGUUAGGCAAGGAUGUUGGAACAGGGCCUCUGGCUGAGAGGGGCAAGCGGCCUCUCCUCUGUUGGCCCCUCAGCAACUCACUGCCCCUGUUUGGUCCUCUGUCUCCCCAUCAGGGAAAUGGAGGUAUGGUGAUUGUGUGGUGAUUGUGUGGUGCAGGCCUCACAGGGUGGUAAUGAGGAGGGGCCCUCCACGUUUGCCCCCCGGAGGGCAACCCCCAGAGAGUGCAGGAGAAGCAGCAGCAGCAGCAGGGGAAUGAGAUCAACCUUGAGAAGAGGACUGAGGAGCAGCUGUGGCACUCCUUGCAGGGGAGGGGAAGGAGGUGGAAAUCAGAGACCCUCUGGGGAGAACAGUUUCUGGCUCCACCCCUUGUAUCUUACAUUGAGUGGAAGAUUUUGGUAGAAGUCGAGACCCAUCCAGUUGGCGCGUGGGUUGAAGGGAGGAUGGCAUCAAGGAAAACUUCUUGGAGGAGGGGCUGAUUAUUCCCAUUCUGAGAACAGGUAGAGCCUGGAUGGAACUGGAGGGAAGGAGCGUUCCCAGGACUGGUCCCCUGCCCCACUCCUCACCCCCCACAAGGCCCCUGCAACAUCCCCCAACCAGGCCCUGUCUGCAUCCUCUCCUUCCCUCUGGUCCCAAGAACACCGAGUCAUGAGGGAGAUCCUGCUGCUCCAGGUCGCUGCAAAGAAUUAUAAAAAGACCCCAAGGAGUGAUUUGGGGCCUGGUUCCAGGACAUGGAGCUGCUCAACGAGAAUGAGUCAAACACCAAGGGUAGAGGUCAUCAAAAGAUCAAGUCUAAUCUACAUACGGGUGUGGCAGCCUUAACUAUGGAUGUUCAAGCCAGACAUUGCCAGAAGAACUACAUCUCUUCACCCAUAGAAGAUGCAACCUACAGCUGAAGAGAAACAGAUACAACACCAAUAUCUUAUCCUCUCUGAAGCCAAACUGAGAGCCCCUGGAGUGAGAAGUUUCCAAGAAAAGAAAAAGUCAUCCAUCUUCGGAAGAGAGACAGUAGAGCACGGACUGUAGGAGAAAGCCCAGAGGAGCAAUGAAGACAAAGAAGACAUGACACCUGCAAAAAGUCAGUGGAGUAUUUCUACGUAACAAACCUUCCAGGUGAGUGACGGUCAGUAUCUUCCACUGAUCCAGCUCUCACAAUAAACCUAGAACAUGCCCAAGGUAAGCUGGAGGACUACGCCCCACUAGUCCAUUCCCUGCCCAGGGCCUGUUUGUGCAGGGUGACUGCCAUCAAGCAGACAAUGGACUCAGGAUGGAGCAUGUGCCUUUGGGGAGGCUGGUAGAGAGGGACAAAGUGGAACACCAGCUAAGUGCACACACCUGAGAGGUGGAGUUCCAGGAGGAGACUCAAAAUGUACCAAGAAACUGCGUGAAGGGAGCUACUCGACCUCUCUGAGCCUCAGUGUCCCCCCCUGUAAAAUGGGGAUGACAGGCCUACUUCACAGACCUGUUGGGGAAGAUACAUAAAAGUGCCUGUGACAGCCAGUGUCCAUAUUAUUAACAAAGCCGUCUCCGACUUCAGAAUAAUCAAUGAAAAGAAUAAUGUUGAUGAGACCAAAGACGAGAUGCUCAGCUUCAUAACAGCCCCAGCAGCAUGAGAGUGAGAGGAGCUCCGAGUAAGCAAGGUUCUUCACAGCUCCACUAGAGAGGAUGAACAUGGGCUACACCAGGAUAAGUGGCUGUUGUACAGUGACUCGUGUAGUGAGGGUGGGUCCCUAAAGACACUGAAAUCC